CCUGGGCAUGCGUUAUGGCUCCGAUGCUGUACAAUAUAAUAGGACCAUCAUCGAAGGGUGCCACUCCUAGCUUGCUAGUGAACCUGUACAAUCACAUAGCUUCCUUACAAGCAUCGAAUGCUGCAAUACAUUCUGUCUUGCAAUUUGAAUUUGGCUAUAUUGCUCUGCUUGGAACCAUUCCAGUAGAUUGCUUCAUUAUUUAGGAUAAAGAUAU
rnacentral:lncRNA from 1 species